ensembl:miRNA mirlet7a-5 microRNA let-7f-1
UCAGGGUGAGGUAGUAGGUUGUAUAGUUUGGUGGGUGGGAUUGCCCACUCAGGUGAUAACUAUACAGUCUAUUGCCUUCCCUGAGGGGCUCACUGUGCAC